UAGAAGAGCAACAAGUCACACCUGAAGAUUAUGAUGACAUAAUUACUGUUGGAUUGAGACAUUAUCAUGAUGAAUUACCAGAAAACUAUGAUGAUGUCUUCAUUGUACCACAGUUUUACAAUAAUAAAGCAGAGGGUGUUAGGGGUGAAGUAUGAUAAUCUGAAGAAUGUCAGGGAAUAU